UGGGAUAGAUCAGUUCUCACAUCCUUGCUU
rnacentral:piRNA from 1 species